ensembl:snRNA U6 spliceosomal RNA
GUCCUCGCUUCAGCAGUCCAUAGACUAAAAUUAGAACAAUACAGAGAAGAUUAGCACGGCCCCUGCGCAAGAAUGCAUGCAAAUUCAUGAAGCGUUCCAUAUUUAA